GCCCAGGUGGUGGAAUUGGUAGACACGCAGGUCUCAGAAGCCUGUGCCGCGAGGCGUGCUGGUUCGAGUCCAGUCUUGGGCACCA
rnacentral:tRNA from 1 species